rnacentral:rRNA from 1 species
UACAGAGGUCUCAAGCGUUGUUCGGAUUCAUUGGGCGUAAAGGGUGUGUAGGUGGCGCCGUAAGUCGGGUGUGAAAUUUCGGAGCUUAACUCCGAAACUGCAUUCGAUACUGCGGUGCUUGAGGACUGGAGAGGAGACUGGAAUUUACGGUGUAGCAGUGAAAUGCGUAGAUAUCGUAAGGAAGACCAGUGGCGAAGGCGGGUCUCUGGACAGUUCCUGACACUGAGACACGAAGGCCAGGGGAGCAAACGGG